rnacentral:rRNA from 1 species
ACGACUACAUAUCAGGCAUAUCAAUAAGCGGAGGAAAAGAAACUAACUAGGAUUCCCCUAGUAACGGCGAGUGAAGCGGGAAGAGCUCAAAUUUGAAAUCUUCAAGGUUCUACCUUGACGAAUUGUAGUUUAAAGAAGUGUUUUCGGUUAGAGGAGUAGUAAAAGUUCUUUGGAAUAGGACAUCAUAGAGGGUGAGAAUCCCGUAUUUGACCAUUAUUUCCAGCUUUGUGAUACACUUUCAAAGAGUCGGAUUGUUUGGGAAUGCAGUCCAAAAUGGGUGGUAAAUUUCAUCUAAAGCUAAAUAUUGGCGAGAGACCGAUAGCGAACAAGUACCGUGAGGGAAAGAUGAAAAGAACUUUGAAAAGAGAGUUAAACAGUACGUGAAAUUGUCAAAAGGGAAGCGUUUGACACCAGUGUUGUUUCUAGCGAAAAUCAAUUUAUGAUGGCUUGAUGCUAAGCUUUAAGACUUUAUCCGCUUGUUGUUUAGUUUUCUUGUCUUUGUGAAUGCACUUUUCGUGGAACAAGUCAACAUCAAUUUCUUUUGCUGUAAAAGGGUAAGAGGAAGGUGGCUUCGGCUUCGGUUGAAGUGUUUAUAGCCUUUUAUCUCUGCAGUCGGAGAGAUUGAGGUCUGCAGCGUAGACUCUUCGGGGUUAGAUACGUCGGUGCUAAGCUAUAGCUUUUCAUAGACAACUUGUUGACUAUGUUUAGUCAUGUGGCUUACCCGCUGGCGCUAUUUUACCUACGCUUAGGAUGUUGACUGAUAUGUAGUCGUA